GCUGGUCUAAGAGCCUUUUGGUCUGUCAAUGGACCUCGUAUACUACAAGUUGGGUAUGAAGAUGAGCAGGAUCCUAAAGUAAUGGAAGCAUAUGAACAAGUUGGCUCCUUGCUCGUUCAUGAAAGUAGGACAGCGGUGUCCUCCAAUGAAACCUCAUACUCAUAGUAGCAAUGCUUUGAUACAAUAUUGUUUCCAAAUCAGAUAACAUUUCAAUUUUUAAGAAGCUGAAAUUUUCAUUGUCAAGAUCAAGAACUCAAGCAACAUUUUGGCCAAUUAUUGUGCUGUAGGUACAUGGGAUCAUGCCUACAAUUUAUCAGGGAAUGGUUUCUGGUGUUUUGUAAUGUAUGAUUUUGUCAGUAAUGUAGAUUAUCAAGUAAAAGAAUAUAAGUAGCCACUUAGUCUUGGCUUUAGGAAGAACUUUUGAACCAAUGUGAUCUUUAUUUACAAGUGUGGUACUGUUGUCCUUUUUACUCACUGUCAUCUCAGUGUAACUGUGUAUGUGAACUUUAUACAUUUUUUAUUAUCGGCUUUGGCAUUGCAGUUUUACACCCUUCGUGCCGAG
rnacentral:misc_RNA from 1 species